rnacentral:tRNA from 1 species
CGGCGGCUCGGCCUGACCGCGCUGGCGGUGCUGGCGCUGCUGCUGGCGGUGUUCUUCUCGCUGGCCGUCGGC